GCAAGGGUGAAAAGGUGCGGUAAGAGCGCACCGCGUGCUUGGUGACAAGCAUGGCGUAGGUAAACCCCACCGCGUGCAAGCGCAAGCAGUUCUCGAUUCACGUUUGUGAAUGUCCUUGCCCAAGGAAUGAGAACGGGUCGUGUGCAAAAGUUUGCUGGCAACAGCAAACGUAGAUGAAUGACCGUCCACGACAGAAUCCGGCUUAUCGUCCACAAGCAAUC
rnacentral:RNase_P_RNA from 1 species